UGGGGAAUAUUGCACAAUGGGCGCAAGCCUGAUGCAGCCAUGCCGCGUGUGUGAAGAAGGCCUUCGGGCUGUAAAGCACUUUCAGCGGGGAGGAAGGCGUUAAGGUUAAUAACCUUGGCGAUUGACGUUACCCGCAGAAGAAGCACCGGCUAACUCCGUGCCAGCAGCCGCGGUAAUACGGAGGGUGCAAGCGUUAAUCGGAAUUACUGGGCGUAAAGCGCACGCAGGCGGUUUGUUAAGUCAGAUGUGAAAUCCCCGGGCUCAACCUGGGAACUGCAUCUGAUACUGGCAAGCUUGAGUCUCGUAGAGGGGGGUAGAAUUCCAGGUGUAGCGGUGAAAUGCGUAGAGAUCUGGAGGAAUACCGGUGGCGAAGGCGGCCCCCUGGACGAAGACUGACGCUCAGGUGCGAAAGCGUGGGGAGCAAACAGG
rnacentral:rRNA from 1 species